rnacentral:lncRNA from 1 species
CGGUCUGGCUGCUGCUUACAGUUACAAGUUGCCUCCCAGACUAUUAGUUCAUAUAGAUUGAUCAAAACAUGUCUGCAUGUGUACGGUUUUAUAUGUUAAAUUUGUUGCACCAUGCAUGAGUAUUUAAAAUGGAUCAGAUUAUGCUUUCCUUGGAAUCGAUAUCAUGUAUGCUUUGUUAUAUCACUUAUUUAUUUGUUUUUAGUUCUACUAUGUAUUAGUUCUAAUUAAUGUUUUUUGUUUAUGUAUAAUUAAUUAUAUAUCCUUUACAUCAUAUUGUUAGGAUUUGACUGUAUUGCAGCCAGUAAUUAACUUUAUUAUAAUCAAUCCCUUUAUAUAGAAACGAUAUAAGACAGAAAAAUAGUGUUUACAGACAAAAAAAAAAAAAAGGCAGAAAAUAGUAAAAUUCCAACUUGGUCAUGAAUUGAAAUGUCGUACCAUUUUAUAGCUAGCUGUACAUGGCCAAAAGACAAA